UACGUAGGGUGCAAGCGUUAAUCGGAAUUACUGGGCGUAAAGCGUGCGCAGGCGGUUUUGUAAGUCUGUUGUGAAAUCCCCGGGCUUAACCUGGGAAUGGCAAUGGAGACUGCAAGGCUAGAGUUUGGCAGAGGGGGGUAGAAUUCCACGUGUAGCAGUGAAAUGUGUAGAGAUGUGGAGGAACACCGAUGGCGAAGGCAGCCCCCUGGGUCAAAACUGACGCUCAUGCACGAAAGCGUGGGGAGCAAACAGG
rnacentral:rRNA from 1 species